rnacentral:rRNA from 1 species
CACGUAGGGACCGAGCGUUGUCCGGAUUUAUUGGGCGUAAAGGGCUCGUAGGCGGCCAACUAAGUCAUACGUGAAAUCCCUCAGCUUAACUGGGGAACUGCGUGUGAUACUGGAUGGCUUGGAUUUGGGAGAGGGAUGCGGAAUUCCAGGUGUAGCGGUGAAAUGCGUAGAUAUCUGGAGGAACACCGGUGGCGAAGGCGGCAUCCUGGACCAAUAUUGACGCUGAGGAGCGAAAGCUAGGGGAGCAAACGGG